AUCUCGUAUAUGCUUGAUAUACGGACGUAUAUACGGUAUGUACGGUAUACAUACGUAUAUACGGUCUGUACGGUAUGUAUACUUAUAUACAGUUGUACAGUAUGCAUACGUAUAUACGGUCUGUACGGUAUGCAUACGAAUAUACAGUUGUACGGUAUGCAUACGUAUAUACGAUCUGUACGGUAUGCAUACGUAUAUACGGUAUGUACAAUUUCAUACCGUAGCCGAGCUGGAAGUUGGUGGGCCGAUUGGUAGGCCCAAAUAGUAAGCCCAAAUAGUAAGCCCAAAUAGUAAGCCCGAAUGGUAGGCCCAAAUGGUAGGCCCAAAUGGUAAGCCCAAUUGUUCGGCCCGAAUAGUAGGCCCAAAUGUUAAACCCAAAGUGGUUUGGGCCGGUUCGAAAUGUGGAUGGUCCGAUUUCUUCAGGCCCAAUUGGCCAGCCCUAGUGCUUAGCCCAAGGAUUGAGCAAGCCCAAGUCAUCAUCAUUGGAUGACAUAAUUUAUUGGCGUGCUUUUGGGGAUGAUUUGUUUUGAGUGAUGCAUCUCUAUGGUUGUGAAGAGUGGUGCAUGCUUAAGUUUUACUAUGGAGAUUUACCGUGAUGCUAAUUGAGUAGCGAAACACUUUGUGGGAGUGUUUACUGUGCUUGUAUGCCAGUACAGAGUGAUGAUCUAUGUGAUGAUCUAUGUGAAGAUCUAUGUAAGGAUCUUUGAGAUGAUCCAUGUGAUGAUUUUGUGUAAUUGAUGUGGAGUGAUGUUGAGCAGUUGUGUUGUGCGUUUACGUUUGUGAUGAAAGGAUUUAGUGGCCAUAGGAAUGUAUUUUUAUACAAAGGAUUGUGGCUUUGUAGAUUACUACAGCUUUGGGAAAGAUGGAUAUUCGAUGGUUAGGUCAACCUUAAUCGAGAGGAAUUGACUUACGCUCAAAUUUCGGGACGAAAUUUCUUUAAGGAGGGUAGACUGUAAUACCCCGGAAAAUCCAAAUUAAAUUCCAUGGAUUUUUAGAAAUGAUUUCACGAUAGUAGGAGCGAGUACGAAGCUUGGAGAAGUUGUGGAAUUAGUUCGAACGAUUUUAUUUUCGAAAACGAACGUUUUUAGGGGGUCAACAAAGUUGACUUUUUAUACGUUCAAAAUUUGGGAAAACUUCCUUCAUGAAAGUUGUAGAGCUCGUCGAUACGAGUUCGUGGACAUGUGGAACGCAUUAUUCGGAGUUCGUAUGAUUAAGUUAUGAAUAUUUGAAAAUUGGGAAUUUUCUAUAAAUAGGAAAAAUAACUGAUUUUUUUUAUUUAAGGACAAAAAAAAUUUCUUUUUGCGGAAGAGCCCCCAGCCCUCCCCGAUUCUCUCUCUCUGUUUUCCCCUCAGACCCGGCGGGUCGAGCUCGACCCGACCCGACAUUUUCACCCUCCUCCGGCCUCCUCUGGCCACGGACCCGGCCUUCCCCGAGCUCGCCGUCGCACGCCCAGCCGUUACCUGCCACCAUCUUGCCCCGCCGCUGCCCCCAGAUGGAGAUCGAAGACGCCCCAGCCGUGUGAACCCGACCCGACCGGAAAACGACUUUUCCGGCGUUGCAUGGGCCGAUCGUCCCCAUUUUCGUGAUCUCCUCCUCAUGCUGAUCAUCCCCAUACGCACGAGAUUAAUCCAACUUCAACGCUUGAUUUAGGACGAUCUAGGCCGAACCAGGCUUAGCUCCAGGUGAUUGACGGUUUGAGUUGGUGGACGAUUGUGGAUCGUAUUUUGAGCUGAAUUGAAGACGCAGCGGGAUUAUCGAGGUGAGUAAACCUCACGUGGUUCAUAUUACGAACCCAAUACAAUUAAUUGCUUUAUUUUGUUGCAAUCAUAUGAACUAUUGUUGGUGUUAUUAGACAUUCCUGUGUGAAUGUCUGUAUAUAUAUUAUUACGUGAAAUAAUAUGUAUUGUUGGAGUUGUGUUGAGUUAUUGUUGAGAAACAAUAUAUUGUGAGAGAUAUUGAGUUUAUUGUUGAGAAACAAUAUAUUGUGAGAGGUGUUGAGUUUUAUUGUUGAGGAACAAUAAAUUGUUGUGAUCUGUGGAGAUCACUAGGUCACGAGGUGACCAUGGCAUCUAUUAGUGAAUCACGCUCUCGUACCGGGCUGGUGGUUAUUAAUAGUAUUAAAUCGUAAUCACGUCUGUGGCCGGACGAGUGGUUACGUUCAGUUAGAGCUCUAGUCUGUCUGCCAAAUGUGGAGUGACCUUAUGAGUGAAAUUGAGAGUAACUCAUAAGUGUCAAUAUAUAUAUGGUAACCUUAUGAGGGAAAUUGAGAGUAACUCAUAAGGGUCUAUAUAUAUAUAUGAGUCUGUCUACCAAAUGUUGGGAAAUCUUAUGAGCGAAUUUGAGAGUAACUCAUAAGUGUCUAUAUAUAUAUAUGAGAGUGAGUGAUCUUAUGAGCUAAAUUGAGAGUAACUCAUAAGUGUCUAUAUAUAUAUAUGAGAGUGAGAAAGUAACGUGGGUUUGUGGUAGUCUUGAAAUCUAAUAAAUCAACAGUUCUUUCUUGUUUACUCAUACUGGCUGUAAAAAGCUUACCGGGUUUUGUGUUGUUGCAACUCCCGGUACACUAUUCAAAUUGUGUAGCGGGUAAUCCUACAGGACAGGAGAACCAGGACGGUGAUCGUGCGGUUAGAGCAAUUGUUAGAGUUUUACAACAAUUGUAAGU